ensembl:lncRNA
ACUAAUCCUGUACAUGGCUGCUCACACGGACCGAGUGCAGCAGAUUAAACAGGCGGCCGACGCCCUGAGUUCACACGGCUCCACCAAAGACGGAAUUACUGACCCGAGAUCAGCGGGACACACCCGUCGGGUAACAGGUGCUUAUCAACGUGCGGGCCCGUGCCGGCGUCGGUGACGGCCACCGCGUGGCCGUUCAGGCCUCCGUUCUGGUCCUUCGCCUGCGAACGGAAGCAGACCGGUCAGCGUGGAGACCGCGUCACCCUGUCACUUCCCGCCACCGCACUUAAACAAACAGCCGGGGUGUGAUAGCACGCGGCAGACUGCCAGCAAACAUGGGCAGGGGAAGAAAUAAAAAGGUGAGGGUGUGCGUGUGUGUGUGUGUGUGCGUUACUUCUGAAGAGAAACGCUACUAAAAUGACCAGUAAAAAGAAGGAUUCACCUCAGCCUGAAGUGGCUCCUGGUUUGAUGGUAAAUUGCCCAUCUUUACUGAACUCGGCGCUGGUGAAAGAUCCACAUCCAUUAAAAAAGUCUUCUGUACAGUAGACGUUACUUAUUUAACACGUUAACAUUUCAGAUGUUUACCUCCUGCAGACGCCUCCUCAGAUCUCCGGAUUUAAAGCUGACCUGGGUUUUUCCUGGUUCCGUCCUGGUACUGUUCUGGUUCCGUCCUGCUUCCGUCCUGGGUCUGUCCUUGUUUUGUCCUGAUUUUGUCCUGGUUCUGUCCAAGUUUUGGCCUGGUUUUGUCCUAGAUCUGUCUUGGUCUAGUCCUGGUUCUGUCCUAGUUUCGGCCUGGUUUUGUCCUGGGACUGUCCUGGUUCUGUCUUGGUUUUGUCCUGGUUCUGUCCUGGUUCUCUCCUGGGUCUGUCUUGGUUUUGUCUUGGUUCUGUCCUGGUUUUCUCCUGGGUCUGGCCUAGUUCUGUUUUGGUUAUGUCCUGGUUCUGUCCUGGAUCCGUCCUGGUUCUGUUUUGGUUUUGUCCUGGGUCCGUCCUGGUUCUGUCCUGGUUUUCUCUUGGAUCAGACCUGGUUCUCUUUUGGUUAUGUCCUGGGUUCGUCCUGGUUCUGUCUUGAUGCUACAUGCGUUGCAGUGUGUAUGAGUGUAUAUACAGGUGAGACGGGGUGUGGCUGCUACUUGAUCCAGGUGCUUGCGUCGUCUGUCGCUGGUCCACCUCUGGUCCACCUCUGGUCCACCUCGGUCUCCGCUGUCACCUUCUGUCUCAGCAGCAGUGAGACGCUCGGGGCUGCACACCUACAGAGGAGGGCGUGGCUGAGUUCUGAACAGGAUGUGGCUGGAGGAUACGCCUGCUGCAGGACACCCUCUCUAAAGAAUACACUUCAUAUCACGCUGGUCCUCACUGGGUCUCAUCUCGAAGCUCCCUGGCCGCUUCCAGCUGUCCAUGUGUCACUUGGGCCCUGAAGCUCUGAGCUGCUCACUGGUCUGUCCCACCGGGCGUCACCAGCAUCAACAGGUGGCACCAGCGGCACCAAUGGAGACGUGGACACAGUGAGACAUUGUCCGAACGUGCACGGCGGGGGCGGGGGCCACAUUCCUGCCCUUCUGCCUUGGGAAUUCUGGGAACACGCAAGCCCCCUCACUCCUAAAUCCCAACAGGGAUCUCAGCGCAAACAGCAUUCCUGCAGAGAGAGGAACGUCAUGAAUAAGGAUCCCGUCCCGCUGAGCUGCUUCGAGGACGAUGUUCCCGAACAGAUGUUUGCCGUGAGCAGUUUCAGUAUCAUCACAGCACUUCUCAAUUUGGCCAAUAUUUGCCGAAGGGCGCAGUGUUGUUUAAAUGUGAGAGUAUAUUUGCUGAAGCUCAGGCUGCAGAUCGGUCCCCACCGUGCAGCUUUCAUCAUCUUCAUCACACUCUGCUCUGCCACGCCCAUCUUCACACCCAUCACAUUCAAAUUACUGAUCAUCAAUAUCAUUUCAAACUAGAACGUUCCUGCCUUGGAACCUGAUCCACACCUCUGUUGCACUACAUGGUUUUGCACUCUCCACCAUGUGCCCUUAUUUGUAUAUGGUGUAAAAUUGUAUAUUGUGUUUUUUUAAAUUGUAUUUAUAC